UACGUAGGCAGCGAGCGUUGUUCGGAGUUACUGGGCGUAAAGGGUGUGUAGGCGGUUCUCUAAGUUUGGUGUGAAAUCUCCCGGCUCAACCGGGAGGGUGCGCCGAAAACUGGAGGGCUAGAGUGCGGGAAGGGAGAGUAGAAUUCCUGGUGUAGCGGUGAAAUGCGUAGAUAUCAAGUGGAACACCAGUGGCGAAGGCGAGUCUCUGGACAUUUCCUGACGCUGAGGCACGAAAGCCAGGGGAGCAAACGGG
rnacentral:rRNA from 1 species